rnacentral:rRNA from 1 species
AACGCGUACACAAUCUACCUUUAAGAGGGGAAUAGCCCUGGGAAACUGGGAUUAAUGCCCCAUGGCAUCAUUGACAUGGCAUCAUGUUAUGAUUAAAGCUGAGGUGCUUAAAGAUGAGUGUGCGUCUGAUUAGCUAGUUGGUGCGGUAACGGCGCACCAAGGCUACGAUCAGUAGGGGGCGUGAGAGCGUGGACCCCCACACGGGUACUGAGACACGGACCCG